rnacentral:rRNA from 1 species
UACGGGGGGGGCAAGCGUUGUUCGGAAUUACUGGGCGUAAAGGGCUCGUAGGCGGCCAACUAAGUCCGACGUGAAAUCCCCAGGCUUAACCUGGGAACUGCGUCGGAUACUGGAUGGCUUGAAUUCGGGAGAGGGAUGCAGAAUUCCAGGUGUAGCGGUGAAAUGCGUAGAUAUCUGGAGGAACACCUGUGGCGAAGGCGGCCCCCUGGUUGGAUACUGACGCUGAUACGCGAAAGCGUGGGGAGCAAACAGG